UGGGGUAUCGCCAAGCGGUAAGGCACUAGGUUUUGAUCCUAGCAUGCCCAGGUUCGAAUCCUGGUACCCCAGCCA
rnacentral:tRNA from 4 species